rnacentral:rRNA from 1 species
UAGGGAAUCUUCCGCAAUGGGCGAAAGCCUGACGGAGCAACGCCGCGUGAGUGAUGAAGGUCUUCGGAUCGUAAAACUCUGUUAUUAGGGAAGAACAAAUGUGUAAGUAACUAUGCACGCCUUGACGGUACCUAAUCAGAAAGCCACGGCUAACUACGUGCCAGCAGCCGCGGUAAUACGUAGGUGGCAAGCGUUAUCCGGAAUUAUUGGGCGUAAAGCGCGCGUAGGCGGUUUUUUAAGUCCGAUGUGAAAGCCCACGGCUCAACCGUGGAGGGUCAGUGGGAACUGGAAAACUUGAGUGCGGAAGAGGAAAGGGGAAUUCCAUGUGUAGCGGUGAAAUGCGCAGAGAUAUGGAGGAACACCAGUGGGGAAGGCGACUUUCUGGUCUGUAACUGACGCUGAUAUGCGAAAGCGUGGGGAUCAAACAAG